rnacentral:lncRNA from 1 species
GUAACAUUUAAAUUCAUAGUGUAUACUACAACUGGGUUAGUUCCUUCUAGUUUCCAUUAAAGCAAUCAAUCUAGAAUUAAAAACUGGUUUUGGAUAAAUGUAAUGAAGAAAUAAACGUCAAGAACUUACAAAAUAAAACUUUCAUAAGACAGAUAAGAGAAAAUGGAGCAAGAGGUGAGGUCACCUGUCACUUCGGUUCUAUGGAAAGAGAACUCAUUACCUGCUCUCCCCAAACAUUAGGUAGCCUCCCAGAACAACACACACACACCCCUAUCUGCUACUGUCAAUUCAGUAGGGCGACCUACUAAGGUCUCUAAAAUGGGUUACAGUAUCAGACGAUAUACAACGCCACAAAGCAUCACAUAAAUGGGUAACUGUACAAAAAACAGUGCAUGUCAAAGUAAUAACUAGAUGAAUUUUUUCUUUCGGAAUGCAAGCCGUCUAAGCUGAUCUCCAAGAGCCUUUGCAAGUAAACCGCGGCACAAAAGUCCUUAAGCCUAAGCCUCACUUGCUGAAGCCCUCCACCGCGGGCGUUCCUACCAGGCGGUGACCAACUUUUGUGCUUCCCACAAUAGCGCUAAAGCGAUGCGGUGCAUCCCGCUGGUGAAACUCGGCAUGUGGCACUUAAAACGCCAAACCAGAAUCGCCCACAGCGCUGGCUGCAGGGCUCUCCCGGUUCCGCCGCGAUAACGCCGGGAGAUUAUCUGCAUUCAGCGCGAGGGCUUCAGGUCCAGGAAGAGAAGCGAAGCGAUAGCACGCGCACCCGGACCACGCUCAAGGCAAGGAAGCCCCAGCGCCCGGUGGGCCCAGGAAGCUGCCUAACCAGGGCAAAGCUCCGUGCCCUUUUCUAUGAAAGGGAGCGUGUGGCCGGCGGAACCAAAAGUAAACACGGAAAAUUCACUAGGAAUUUCCUGAUGGCCUACCGCGCACACGCAGGACACGAGUUAAGACGCUGGGAAAUGUUGAUGCCGGCAACCCCGUGGCGUGGUGUGUGCCUGCCCUGCAGCUGGACGGGAGGAAGCUCUGAAGCCCCUGGCUCUGAAAGAAUGGGGACUCCAGUAGGAAGGCAGGCGAGGAAUCAGGAACCUGAAUGA